UACAGAGGUCUCAAGCGUUGUUCGGAUUCAUUGGGUGUAAAGGGUGUGUAGGUGGCGCCGUAAGUCGGGGGUGAAAUUUCGGAGCUUAACUCCGAAACUGCAUUCGAUACUGCGGUGCUUGAGGACUGGAGAGGAGACUGGAAUUCAUGGUGUAGCAGUGAAAUGCGUAGAGAUCAUGAGGAAGACCAGUGGCGAAGGCGGGUCUCUGGACAGUUCCUGACACUGAGACACGAAGGCCAGGGGAGCAAACGGG
rnacentral:rRNA from 1 species